UCCUCUCCCUCCCAGAACGGCGAUGGACUUGUGGACACCAACAAAAAAGUCGAAAAGAUUUGUGAGGGCAUCAGAACGUCCCUAAAGGCCAGGGCUAGGCAGGAACCCUCUUCGGAUGUGGCAGAAUCAAACUCAAGAGAAGGAGGAGAACGCAGGGCAGAACCACGACCACCAACGAUGCGGGAGGAAGGAAAACCAAAUACAUCAGGGGUCUCCAGGGCAGAGUUUGUUUCCAAAUUUUAGGACAAGGCCUUGAAACAUCCAAGAGAUCCAGGAGGUGAAAGCGCCAUUGGGGUGCAGAUGAUGACGGAAUCGCCCGAAAAGGAACAGCCUUGGUCGAUGCUUGAUUCCCCCCCCUGCACCCCACCCAGCAAACCGGCUUUCCCAUCCACCUUUCUCCACCAUAACCCACAAGAAAUGAAACAAUUAACUAUC